rnacentral:tRNA from 1 species
GCCCUGGUGGCGGAAUCGGUAGACGCGUUGGACUUAAAAUCCAAUUGGGGCUAUACCUCAGUGCCAGUUCAAGUCUGGCCCAGGGCACCA